AGGAAUAUUGGUCAAUGGGCGAGAGCCUGAACCAGCCAAGUAGCGUGAAGGAUGACUGCCCUAUGGGUUGUAAACUUCUUUUAUAAAGGAAUAAAGUCGGGUAUGGAUACCCGUUUGCAUGUACUUUAUGAAUAAGGAUCGGCUAACUCCGUGCCAGCAGCCGCGGUAAUACGGAGGAUCCGAGCGUUAUCCGGAUUUAUUGGGUUUAAAGGGAGCGUAGAUGGAUAUUUAAGUCAGUUGUGAAAGUUUGCGGCUCAACCGUAAAAUUGCAGUUGAUACUGGAUAUCUUGAGUGCAGUUGAGGCAGGCGGAAUUCGUGGUGUAGCGGUGAAAUGCUUAGAUAUCACGAAGAACUCCGAUUGCGAAGGCAGCCUGCUAAGCUGCAACUGACAUUGAGGCUCGAAAGUGUGGGUAUCAAACAGGAUUAGAUACCCUGGUAGUCCACACGGUAAACGAUGAAUACUCGCUGUUUGCGAUAUACUGCAAGCGGCCAAGCGAAAGCGUUAAGUAUUCCACCUGGGGAGUACGCCGGCAACGGUGAAACUCAAAGGAAUUGACGGGGGCCCGCACAAGCGGAGGAACAUGUGGUUUAAUUCGAUGAUACGCGAGGAACCUUACCCGGGCUUAAAUUGCAGAUGAAUUACGGUGAAAGCCGUAAGCCGCAAGGCAUCUGUGAAGGUGCUGCAUGGUUGUCGUCAGCUCGUGCCGUGAGGUGUCGGCUUAAGUGCCAUAACGAGCGCAACCCUUGUUGUCAGUUACUAACAGGUUCCGCUGAGGACUCUGACAAGACUGCCAUCGUAAGAUGUGAGGAAGGUGGGGAUGACGUCAAAUCAGCACGGCCCUUACGUCCGGGGCUACACACGUGUUACAAUGGCAUGGACAAAGGGCAGCUACCUGGUGACAGGAUGCUAAUCUCCAAACCAUGUCUCAGUUCGGAUCGGAGUCUGCAACUCGACUCCGUGAAGCUGGAUUCGCUAGUAAUCGCGAAUCAGAAUGUCGCGGUGAAUACGUUCCCG
rnacentral:rRNA from 1 species